rnacentral:rRNA from 1 species
CCCUAUGGGGUGCUCGGCAAUGACGAGAAUUGCGAUGGUAACGAGGUCCACAAGCUCGGCGAGGCCGGCCUUUUUGAAAUGCUGGCCGAAGAAAAUGUAGCGCAUUACAAGGAUCUUGGUGUAACAAAAAUCAUUACCCUUUCACCUCAUGCCUAUAAUGCGAUGAAAAAUCUCUACCCCGGCUAUGGCGGCAGUUUUCGCGUCUUCCAUUAUGCGCAGAUACUCCUGGAACUGAUUAAUGCAGGAAAGCUGAAGCUUUCGCACGAAUUCAACGCGCAGGUAACCUAUCAUGACCCCUGUUUUCUGGGACGAUGGAAUUCGGAAUAUGAGGUUCCGAGGAGACUUCUUGCAAAGAUCCCGUCUCUACAACUCGUCGAAAUGGAAAAGAACAGGGAGGGCGCCUUGUGCUGCGGCGGGAGAGC